GUUCAAUUUCCCAAAUCCAACAAUAAAACCUUCUUUUUUACAUGAUCACACGUUAAAUUGCUAACAUUUAAUUUUACAAGAGUACUAAGCUGCCACUAGAUGAAACAAUAAAAUAGGGCCUAUGCAGACAAAAACUAGAAUGCAAUAAUAUAAUGUUAGCAUAACUUCUGCUUCAGCAUGACAUUUUACAACUGACCUAAAGUCAUUCUGUGUUUCAUAACAUAUGGCGAACCCAUCUAGAAUACAUGUAUGCCCCCUUAGCUCCAUUUAGCUGUUAUUGCAGUGGUUCUUGCCACACCUUCUAUAUACCACUCAGUUACAAUAAUGGUAGCCCUGUCAUGUCAUUCCCGGUUCAUUGCUUGCAUGAAAUGCUCAUCACUCUCUCCAUCAGAGAUUUCUCCGAGUCUUGAGAUAGCCUCCAGAAGUGCUUGCUCAUGCUCCUUUAGUACUUUUUUCGCCUUCUCAACUUCCAAAGGAUCUGGAUGACUGGCGCCAAAGACCCUCUCCACCUCUUUAAUCAGUGUGUCUGUGUGAAGUAACUGGAUAUCAUCAGAUCCUUUCCUUCCUCCAUUCUGUGAUGGUGGAAAGCCUUUUCUGGACUGAGGUUUAGCCAACCCCCUUCCCCUCCCUGCACCUGGACCACUAUCACGCCCUACAGGUCUAUUCACACCACGGCCAGAUCCACCAUAAUUUCCAUGACGAGAAAUUCCUGGAUCUUCACCAUCCCACUGAAUAUCUUCUGGAGAAAUCUCUGAAAGAUUGACCCAUUCCCAUGUCUCAUUUGCAGUACUCAUGUCAUAAACAAGAGCAUGUCUACCCUCAGCUUUGUUAUAGUCAGUAAUGACUGCCUCAUAAAAAUUAUUGUCAUCAGGCCAUCUAGUCCUUACUUUCCUUCCAAUCAAUGAAUCAACUGGUGCUUUAGCAGAUUCAGAAACCCGAUUAUCGAGUUGGCCUCUUCCAAAUGGGCCGGAAGGCGGAUACUGCAUUUUCAUUGAAGAUGCACCAGGCAUCAUCUGUCCAGAUUUACUUUUUUUGCCCUUAGGCCCCAUCAUAGGCCCUCUCUUGGCAGCAGAUGAAGAUGGCUGGUUUGCAGCAGCCAGAGCAGGUGGGUGGAAAGUAGGAGAUGGUCCAGCAAAGGACUGUGACGGUAAAGGUGGAGCUAUCUUCUGUUUCUUCCGUGAAGCUGAGACAGAAGGACUGGGUAAUGGGUCAUGAAUAGCUUGACCAGUGCCAAGCAUACCAGGUUGCUGAGCCCCUGAUUGUCUCCACUCCCUUAUUCUUCUGAUGACAUCAUCAGCAUUAACUCUACCAAGAAGUUCUCUAUGUUCUUCAUUGGACAAUCUUAACUCUUUUCUUAACU
rnacentral:misc_RNA from 1 species